rnacentral:rRNA from 1 species
GACGAACGCUGGCGGCGUGCCUAAUACAUGCAAGUCGAACGCAGUGGGGACGGGUGAGUAACACGUGGGUAACCUCCCAUCAGAGGGGAGAACACUUGGAAACAGGUGCUAAACCGAUACUGAUGGAUGGACCCGCGGUGCAUUAGCUUGUUGGUGAGGAAACGGCUCACCAAGGCCACGAGGCAUAGCCGGCCUGAUAGUGUGAUCAGCCACACUGGGACUGAGACACGGCCCAGACUCCUACGGGAGGCAGCAGUAGGGAAUCGUCGGAAAUGGACGAAAGUCUGACCGAGCAACGCCGCGUGAGUGAAGAAGGUUUUCGGAUCGUAAAGCUCUGUUGGUAGAGAAGCGUUAUCUAACCAGAAAGCCACGGCUAACUACGUGCCAGCCGCCGCGGUAAUAC